rnacentral:rRNA from 1 species
UGGCGGACGGGUGAGUAACGCGUGGGUAACCUGCCUUGUACUGGGGGACAACAGUUAGAAAUGACUGCUAAUACCGCAUAAGCGCACAGUAUCGCAUGAUACAGUGCGAAAAACUCCGGUGGUACAAGAUGGACCCGCGUCUGAUUAGCUAGUUGGUAAGGUAACGGCUUACCAAGGCGACGAUCAGUAGCCGACCUGAGAGGGUGACCGGCCACAUUGGGACUGAGACACGGCCCAAACUCCUACGGGAGGCAGCAUG